UGCCCAGCAACUCCAAUCCCUACCUCCUCGUGGUACUGGCCGGGAUACGAGUAACCUUAGUGAAGACUUCAUCAGGAG
rnacentral:ribozyme from 1 species